rnacentral:tRNA from 1 species
UAGCUCAGUUGGUAGAGCGCUCCACUUGUAAUGGAGAGGUCCCGGGUUCGAUACCCGGACCAGGCG